UAAUGAGCCUGUCCCUGCCAGGGAGAAGGUAGGGGGGCUCUCAGACUCACCAAGAGCUGUGUUGAGAAAGGACUUCUCACUCCGAGGGCAACUUGGAAAGGAAGGGGCUGUAUUCCAAAGAGGGAGGGGAGGCAAGGCAGCCCCAAAUCUAGAAUUCCGUACCAGUGAUCGACAGAAAAAGCACCAAGAACAGCCUUCUCUUUCCAGUCUGAGGAGCAGGAAAGGGAGCUCUAAGGAUCAGAGAAGGCUGGGAAAAUCCUCCAGUGUGUAUGUGGCCCUUCUGCUUCUGGGGUCAGACAUUUGCCUUCUCACGUGGGUCUCUAUGGCUGGCUUCUGGAUUCCAUCUGCUCUUCCAACUUCACCUGCCACUUCGAUGCUGGCGAGCCCGCACCAUUUUCACUGGGUCGGACCUCUUCAUGCACACCAGACCUAGCAUAAUCCCUAGCGGAAUAUUACUCAGCCAUCAGAAAGGAUGAAUACCCACCAUUUGCACUGCUGCCUUUUAAAAUGGAAACCUUAACAGAGAGGCGAACAGCUCUGGUGGUGAGGAAGCAGAUUCAGGC